GAUUAUGGCUCAGGAUGAACGCUGGCGGCGUGCUUAACACAUGCAAGUCGAACGGACUUACCGAUGAAAGCCUCGGCCGGAAUUGGUAAGUUAGUGGCGGACGGGUGAGUAACGCGUGGGUAACCUGCCUUACGAUUGGGGGAUAACGAUUGGAAACGAUCGCUAAUACCGCAUAAGACCACGGCACCGCAUGGUGCAGGGGUAAAAACUCCGGUGAUGUAAGAUGGACCCGCGUCUGAUUAGCCAGUUGGCGGGGUAACGGCCCACCAAAGCUACGAUCAGUAGCCGACCUGAGAGGGUGAUCGGCCACAUUGGGACUGAGACACGGCCCAAACUCCUACGGGAGGCAGCAGUGGGGAAUAUUGCACAAUGGGGGAAACCCUGAUGCAGCGAACCGCCGCGUGAGUGAAGAAGUAUUUCGGUAUGUAAAGCUCUUUAAGCAGGAAAGAUGAUGACGGUACCUGCAGAAUAAGCACCGGCUAAAUACGUGCCAGCCGCAGC
rnacentral:rRNA from 1 species